GGCCUCAAAUAAUGUGUGGG
rnacentral:rRNA from 1 species